UACGGGGGGGGCAAGCGUUGUUCGGAAUUACUGGGCGUAAAGGGCUCGUAGGCGGCCAACUAAGUCAGACGUGAAAUCCCUCGGCUUAACCGGGGGAACUGCAUCUGAUACUGGAUGGCUUGAGUAUGGGAGAGGGAUGUAGAAUUCCAGGUGUAGCGGUGAAAUGCGUAGAUAUCUGGAGGAAUACCGGUGGCGAAGGCGGCAUCCUGGACCAUUACUGACGCUGAGGCGCGAAAGCUAGGGGAGCAAACGGGG
rnacentral:rRNA from 1 species